GGCGCUGUAGCUCAAGUGGUAGAGCGCUUCCCUUAAGCUGAAGAGCUGAGGGACAGCGCCC
rnacentral:tRNA from 1 species